UUUCUCUUGUUUUCAUUCUAGGCAAAAAUACUUCACUUGAUCAUGAAGAAGCAAUUAGACUCUUUUUUGGAUCAAACCAAGAUCCAGGGGAAGUCAAAAAUACCUUAAGACACCAAAGAUCGCAGAAGUGUGAUAUAUCUAUACCAUCAUAGAAGGAAGAAAUUACUCAAGGAGGGUGAACUCAAGAUGGCGGCGUAAGCAGACUCGGAACUCACCUCCUCCCGUGGACACAGCCAAUUUACAAAUACUUGUGGAAAAAUUACCCCUGAGACAGAACUGAAAACUGGAUAAGAGGAAGUCCUGCAACAACAGACAAUCCUAACUGAGGUGGAAGAGGCAGAGACUCCCUUCUGGAGAGAAAAACGCCGCCUUCACAAGCCGCCAGCUUCAUGGCCGCCGGGAGCAGCUC